UACGUAGGGGGCAAGCGUUAUCCGGAAUCAUUGGGCGUAAAGCGCGUGUAGGCGGUUCCGUAAGUCCGCUCUGAAAGCCCAGGGCUCAACCCUGGGAGGCGGGUGGAUACUACGGAACUGGAGUACGGAAGAGGGAGAUUGGAAUUCCUGGUGUAGCGGUGAAAUGCGCAGAUAUCAGGAGGAACACCAACAGCGAAGGCAGAUCUCUGGGACGUUACUGACGCUGAGAAGCGAAAGCAUGGGGAGCGAACAGG
rnacentral:rRNA from 1 species